rnacentral:rRNA from 1 species
UGACGUUCAAAGAGGAAAGUGGCGGACGGGCGAGUAACGCGUGAGUACCUGCCCAUAAGAGGGGGAUAAUCCAUGGAAACGUGGACUAAUACCGCAUAUUGUUGCAUGACGAAAGAUUUAUCGCUUAUGGAUGGACUCGCGUCAGAUUAGAUAGUUGGUGAGGUAACGGCUCACCAAGUCAACGAUCUGUAGCCGAACUGAAGGUUGAUCGGCCGCAUUGGGACUGAGACACGGCCCAGACUCCUACGGGAGGCAGCAGUGGGGAAUAUUGCGCAAUGGGGGCAACCCUGACGCAGCAACGCCGCGUGCAGGAAGAAGGUCUUCGGAUUGUAAACUGUUGUCGCAAGGGAAGAAGACGUGACGGUACCUUGUGAGAAAGUCACGGCUAACUACGUGCCAGCAGCCGCGGUAAUACGUAGGUGACAAGCGUUGUCCGGAUUUACUGGGUGUAAAGGGCGCGUAGGCGGACUGUCAAGUCAGUCGUGAAAUACCGGGGCUUAACCCCGGGGCUGCGAUUGAAACUGACAGCCUUGAGUAUCGGAGAGGAAAGCGGAAUUCCUAGUGUAGCGGUGAAAUGCGUAGAUAUUAGGAGGAACACCAGUGGCGAAGGCGGCUUUCUGGA